UCACAUGACAAGCGUAAUUGCCCCAAUUUGCAACAAGGGUAUAUGUCGAUUAAAUUUUUCAUUUUUAUUAUAUUUUUCUUGUAAACAAAUUUAUUUUAUUAUCUUUUGUAUAUGACAGAGUGUCAAGUAUCAGAUCAAAUGAAGAUAAUCAUCAUAUUAGUCUUGACGACACAUAUGAACCGGAUUUGGGAUCUAUAGCGGGUUCUAAUAACAUGCGCUAGGAUGUUGUAGUUAUCUAUGUGCAUUUCCUAUGUGUAUCAACAGUGAUUAGAUAAACACAAGCUUUUGUUUAUGGAAAUGGAAAGGAGCUCCCUUCUUCUAAGUGAAUCCAGUGUUAGAGAAGAGUUGGCUUGGCUUUGGUUUCGAUUGGAUGCAUCCCCUGUUAUAUGCAUCUUGUAGUGACUAGAUUGUGCAGUAAAGCGUUAUUUGCUUCUCUGUGCAGUAAAGCGUUAUUUGCUUCUCUGUUAUAUCCAGAGAGUUAUUUCUCAUUGGUCUUGAAAUGUACACUGCACUGCUCACAUUAUAGUAGAGAGUUAUUUGCUUCUUUGUUA